rnacentral:rRNA from 1 species
AACUUAAAAUUUAAAAGACUUGACGGUGUCUCACAACAACCUAGAGGAGCCUGUCUACUAACCGAUACCCCACGAUUAACCCAACCAUUUCUAGCCUACAGUCUAUAUACCACCGUCGCCAGCUUACCUUGUGAAAGAAACAUAGUGAGCCAAACAAUCAAACAUUAAUACGACAGGUCGAGGUGUAACUCAUGAAAUGGAAAAGAUGGGCUACAUUUUCUAAAACAGAAAAUACGGACAAACUAUGAAACAAGAAACUGAAGGCGGAUUUAGCAGUACAUUAAGAAUAAAACACCUAAUAGAAACCAACGCAAUGAGACGCGUACACACCGCCCG